rnacentral:miRNA from 1 species
UUUGUUCAGUCGGCUCGCGUUA